rnacentral:rRNA from 1 species
UACAGGGGGGGCAAGCGUUGUUCGGAAUUACUGGGCGUAAAGGGUUUGUAGGUGGCUUGCUAAGUCAGACGUGAAAUCCCUCAGCUUAACUGGGGAACUGCGUCUGAUACUGGAUGGCUUGGAUUUGGGAGAGGGAUGCGGAAUUCCAGGUGUAGCGGUGAAAUGCGUAGAUAUCUGGAGGAACACCGGUGGCGAAGGCGGCAUCCUGGACCAAUAUUGACGCUGAGGAGCGAAAGCCAGGGGAGCAAACGGG